GCUAGGCUCGCUCGCUCGCGUCGCGUGCGGAUUUGCCUCGUAAAUUUUCCUACCUACCGCGCAUCCUCCGCCACGCACGCACGCACGAGUCUCCACCCAAAACCAACACCAACAACCAUGGCCGCCACCGCCACCGCUUGCCCCGCGCCGCCGCCGCCGCGGAGCCUCUACCGCGGCGUGGCGCUCGCGGCGCCCGGCCGACGGAGGGCCGGGUACGGCGCCUCCUCCUCCGCCGCACGCCGGUGGCCGGGCUGCCGGCGCCGCUGGGCGGCGCACCGGAUCCGCACGGUGAGCUGCGCGUAUUCUCCUCGCGGAGCCAAAACAAUUACGGCAUGUUCUUGGAAUGAAUAUGUGAUCUGCAGUGAUAUACCUGUGCUUAUUGAGUUUUGGGCCUCAUGGUGUGGACCCUGCAGAAUGGUCCACCGAAUUGUUGAUGAGAUUGCACAAGAAUAUGCUGGAAGGAUAAAAUGCUAUAAGCUUGACACUGAUGAUUACCCACAAGUCGCAACAUCUUACAGCAUCGAGAGGAUUCCAACUGUUUUACUCUUUAAGGAUGGAGAGAAAACGCAUAGCAUUACUGGGACUCUUCCGAAGGCUGUUUAUGUGAGAGCCAUUGAGAAAUCUAUCUCAGACUCAGAGCAAUGAUCAAUUCGGCUAGAUACUUCAUAGUGUGUUCUGGUUCAGAUUUAUAUUCCACUGUACCAGUAUACUUGAUGUCUUGAUUAAUCACUACUGAGUAUUGCAGAAAGUAUUGAAGAUGCAGCUAAUCAGCUGAAGGUUUUUCUUCUCAUAUGGUAUGUCACUUCUCUUUCAAGUAGCUUUACAAGGUAUGCACUAUUAAACUUUGUGGUUAUUAAUUCCACAUUUUUUUUCUCGUUAAUCUGUGCCUCUGCGGUAUCUCUGGAAUCAACUGGCAAAAUAAACCCAUGGUAAUCAAUCAGAUAGGUUCUAUAUAUGAAACUCCAUGUCGGUUUUCUAAGAGAUUGAAAACAGGAGGAUGCAUUUGUUGAGAAUAAGAGAUGAAGUUUUUGAAAGAUGAAAAUUAAAUGGAGAAUUCUAAGAGAGCUAUUCUGCCCAAUCUUGUGUACUUGUUGCUUCUGCUCAGGUUAUAUUUGUUAGCCUUUUUUGCACCAGGAUUUGUGCUUCUGAAAUACUACCUUCGGGUCAGCUCAGGAACCCAUGCGAUCUGGUGAGCUGCUUCUGAACCCAGCGCUUCUACAUGGAUCUGCACUAUUCCACGGUACUUAUGCAGGGGGGAUCCUAGUAUUGCAUAUGAGUAUAUCAGGAUGAUAGUGGCAACCCGCAAGCAUGUACUAGCACUCAGGCAGCAAGCGCUGAUACUCAGGUAAAGCAUGGAUCCCAUUCCACUUGUAAAUGAUGUAAGUCAGGCAAUGCUUGGAACCCAUGGUGCUUGUUUUUCUCUUUUCUGGCUAAGUCAGCAUGGUGGGUUAGACGUUUGUGGCUGUAGACCCUGCAGAGAGUAUAUCUUAGUGAAUUACUUUACUUGUUGGAGGUAAUACUGGUUGUAGAACCCUUUGAUAGCAGAGAGAACCAACUAUAGUUAAUAUAGCUGGCAUAUGUGAUUGAUGGCCGUUCUAGUCCCUGGGUGAAUUGCCAUUGUCAUCACUAGAUAUACUGUGAUGUUGGCGUGAAGGCUUUUCAGGUAGAAUGACUUGAUGGAUUUUUAGCUGCAGACUGAUGAGUCGAAAUCUUGGUAUCAUCUCAUAUUCUGAGCUGUUCCCCUUCCUCACAAGUAGAAGAGAACAAAAGAUAUACCUUGUUACUGAAGCUCGCAAUUUGGUCAGAGCUGGUAUUUGGGAUCUGCUCAUCAGUGCUCCUACCGUCCUGCGCUGCUAGACUGCUACUGAGCCUGGAGAAUGCUGGUUCAUGCAAUGACUGAAUACUAAGUGGGACUCUGGACAGAAGGUGGUAGGACUCCCAGAAGCAACAUGGCUGCCAAGUUGAGCAACUGAUCAUACAUGAUGAGCUCGAAGGUCCAAGUUGGUGGCAGAUGGCUUUGAUAUGAGGAUGAUCAUCUACAGGAAUGGUGGCCAGUAAUGCUGACCUGCAAUGAUUUUGGUAGCACAAUAGCAACAAGAUGGCCAUGAAUUUUCAAUGUUUUCAUGCUGAACAGUGAGCACUGAGCACUCGUGCAUAGCAAGUGGUCUAAGUGGAGUGAAGGACACAAUAGAUUUGGAUUCCUUCAACAUUGAAUGGAUUAGUGUUAAUGAUAUCCUAUUGAAUCGCUUUUCAUGUCAUCUCAUUUUCCUUCGACUACAGUAGUGCAUAGGAGUUGAUCAAGGAAAUAGCUCAAGAAUAUGCUGUAACUCUGGAAGAAUUGCUUGGAUAUCCUUAAUUAUCACCUGCUGAUUGCCCGCUUACAGAAUUUGUAGACCCCAAUGUUGAUAAGAGAUAUAAUACAUAUAACAUCUUGCUGAAGCAUGUAGACUAUUUAGUAGUGCUCAUUCUAGCUUAGAAAAACUUAUUAGGAUUUUCCUCUUCUGUUUAAUCUUUUGCUGCAUGAAACGUAGUGCAUCA